rnacentral:tRNA from 1 species
GUCACGUUGCCCGAGUGGUCUAAGGGGGAGGACUUAAGACCCUCUGGCGCAAGCCGCGGCGGUUCGAACCCGUCACGUGACA